UACGUAGGGUGCAAGCGUUAUCCGGAAUUAUUGGGCGUAAAGAGCUCGUAGGCGGUUUGUUGCGUCGGCCGUGAAAACCUGCAGCUUAACUGUGGGCCUGCGGCCGAUACGGGCAGACUUGAGUUCGGUAGGGGAGACUGGAAUUCCUGGUGUAGCGGUGAAAUGCGCAGAUAUCAGGAGGAACACCGGUGGCGAAGGCGGGUCUCUGGGCCGAUACUGACGCUGAGGAGCGAAAGCGUGGGGAGCGAACAGG
rnacentral:rRNA from 1 species